rnacentral:rRNA from 1 species
CGGCCGCAAGGCUAAAACUCAAAGGAAUUGACGGGGGCCCGCACAAGCGGCGGAGCAUGCGGAUUAAUUCGAUGCAACGCGAAGAACCUUACCAAGGCUUGACAUGUAGAGGAAAACUGCAGAAAUGUAGUCCCCCGCAAGGGUCUCUAUGCAGGUGGUGCAUGGUUGUCGUCAGCUCGUGUCGUGAGAUGUUGGGUUAAGUCCCGCAACGAGCGCAACCCUCGUCCUAUGUUGCCAGCACAUAAUGGUGGGAACUCAUGGGAGACUGCCGGGGUCAACUCGGAGGAAGGUGGGGAUGACGUCAAAUCAUCAUGCCCCUUAUGUCUUGGGCUUCACGCAUGCUACAAUGGCCGGUACAAAGGGCUGCAAUACCGUAAGGUGGAGCGAAUCCCAAAAAGCCGGUCUCAGUUCGGAUUGAGGUCUGCAACUCGACCUCAUGAAGUCGGAGUCGCUAGUAAUCGCAGAUCAGCAACGCUGCGGUGAAUACGUUCCCGGGCCUUGUACACACCGCCCGUCAAGUCACGAAAGUCGGUAACACCCGAAGCCGGUGGCCUAACCGUAAGGAAGGAGCCGUCGAAGGUGGGACUGGUGAUUGGGACU